rnacentral:rRNA from 1 species
UACGUAGGCAGCGAGCGUUGUUCGGAAUUACUGGGCGUAAAGAGUGUGUAGGCGGUGCUCUAAGUUCGGUGUGAAAUCUCCUGGCUCAACUGGGAGGGUGCGCCGGAAACUGGAGUGCUUGAGCGUGGGAGAGGAAAGCGGAAUUCCUGGUGUAGCGGUGAAAUGCGUAGAUAUCAGGAGGAAUACCUGUGGUGUAGACGGCUUUCUGGACCAUAGCUGACGCUGAGACACGAAAGCGUGGGUAGCAAACAGG